UUCUGCCAUUUAUGUUUUUCUUCUUCUUCUAGUCCGUAGAAAUAGCAAUGUCCGUAGCCUUUGCUCAUUAGUGCCACCUUUGGUCAGGAGAAGACUGCAACUAG